GAGUUUGAUCCUGGCUCAGAUUGAACGCUGGCGGCAGGCUUAACACAUGCAAGUCGAACGGUUAAUUGGUGCUUGCAUCAAUUGAUAGUGGCGAACGGGUGAGUAAUACCUAGGAAUCUGCCUAAUAGUGGGGGAUAACGUUCGGAAACGGACGCUAAUACCGCAUACGUCCUACGGGAGAAAGGGGGCACUUGUGCUCUCGCUAAUAGAUGAGCCUAGGUCGGAUUAGCUAGUUGGUAGGGUAAAGGCCUACCAAGGCUACGAUCUGUAGCGGGUCUGAGAGGAUGAUCCGCCACACUGGAACUGAGACACGGUCCAGACUCCUACGGGAG
rnacentral:rRNA from 1 species